GUAACAGGUGGAUAUGUUUUGCUAUGAACUGAUUUGUAAGAUUCAUUGACCUGAAGACUAAGGGCCCUCAUUGUUGGAAGUAUUGGAGAGUUUUUAUCAGCUGCUUUGCUGCCUCCAGAGCCAUUAGCUGUCCAAAAUGUUGUGGAUUUUUCAAAGAUGAUUGGAGCAUUAGAUGUAAAUGAAAAUCUUACACAUCUUGUGUCAGGGAUCAUUUUCUUUUGCCUCAAGAGAACAAAGACCAAGCUAGUACAACAAAAUCAAUAUUUUCUGCAAAGGAUUACAAUGAUCAUAUGGCACUUGUGUGUGAAUAUGAAGGAUGGAAAGAAGCUGAAAGAGAAGGAUAUGCUUAUAAAUAUUGCUGGAGGAAUUUCCUUUAUGCUCAAACACUUCAAGCUAUACAUUC